GAUUAAGUUAUUAAGGGCGCACGGUGGAUGCCUUGGCACUAGAAGCCGAUGAAGGACGUUACUAACGACGAUAUGCUUUGGGGAGCUGUAAGUAAGCUUUGAUCCAGAGAUUUCCGAAUGGGGAAACCCAGCAUGAGUUAUGUCAUGUUAUCGAUAUGUGAAUACAUAGCAUAUCAGAAGGCACACCCGGAGAACUGAAACAUCUUAGUACCCGGAGGAAGAGAAAGAAAAUUCGAUUCCCUUAGUAGCGGCGAGCGAAACGGGAAGAGCCCAAACCAACAAGCUUGCUUGUUGGGGUUGUAGGACACUCUAUACGGAGUUACAAAGGACGACAUUAGACGAAUCAUCUGGAAAGAUGAAUCAAAGAAGGUAAUAAUCCUGUAGUCGAAAAUGUUGUCUCUCUUGAGUGGAUCCUGAGUACGACGGAGCACGUGAAAUUCCGUCGGAAUCUGGGAGGACCAUCUCCUAAGGCUAAAUACUCUCUAGUGACCGAUAGUGAACCAGUACCGUG
rnacentral:rRNA from 1 species